GGGGAUGGGGCUUGGAUGGUUCGAGCGCUGGUUUGUCACAUCAGAGAAGCGGGUUCAAUUCCCGUCAUUCCCG
rnacentral:tRNA from 2 species